rnacentral:SRP_RNA from 1 species
UCCAGGCACAGUGGCGCAUGCCUGUAGUCCUAGCUACUUGGGAGGCUGAGGUUGGAGGAUCGCUUGAGCCCAGAAGUUCUGGGCUGUAGUGUGCUAUGCCCAUCAGGUGUCCUCACUAAGUUCGGCAUCAAUAUGGUGACCUCCCGGGAGCAGGAGACCACCAGGUUGCCUAAGGAGAGUGAACCGGCCCAGGUCGGAAACGGAGUAGGUCAAAACUCCCACGCUGAUCAGUAGUGGGAUCGCGCCUGUGAAUAGCCACUGCACUCCAGCCUGGGCAACAUAGUGAGACCCCCGUCUCU